rnacentral:rRNA from 1 species
GACGAACGCUGGCGGCGUGCCUCAAACAUGCAAGUCGAGCGGGGAACUUUUAAAAGCGCAAGCUUUUAAAAGUUCCUAGCGGCGAACGGGUGAGUAACACGUGGGCAACCUACCCAGAAGACCGGGAUAACGGCUCGAAAGGGCCGCUAAUACCGGAUAAUGUCGGGGUACCGCAUGGUACUCCGAAGAAAGGGGAAACCCGCUUUUGGAUGGGCCCGCGUCCCAUCAGCUAGUUGGUGAGGUAACGGCUCACCAAGGCGACGACGGGUAGCCGGUCUGAGAGGAUGGUCGGCCACACUGGGACUGAGACACGGCCCAGACUCCUACGGGAGGCAGCAGUUGGGAAUCUUGGGCAAUGGGCGAAAGCCUGACCCAGCGACGCCGCGUGAGGGAGAAGGCCUUCGGGUCGUAAACCUCUGUCAUGGGGGAAGAAGCAAGUGACGGUACCCCAAGAGGAAGCCCCUGCUAACUACGUG